GCUCGGGGUUAGGCUGGGCAUCGGUCAGCGGGUGGAAAAGAACUGAUUUAUUAAAUCCCCUUUGACUUCACUGUGAAUUUGGAAUGAACAAGAAAUAUAGAUAUGAGCAUGAAACGCUAGUAAAAUCUGGAACACCGCAGAAGUCAUUCAUUUGACUUGAAAAUCUAAGUGAAAUUCUCCAUCAGCGUGUAGAAAUUGUUGGUUUAGUUAAUUAUAUUUGUUGCUUGACUAUCCAAAGACGGAAAUCAUACCUGGACAGCGGUCAGGAACAAUUCCAGGAUGCCUCUCAAAAAUAAAAACUUGCACUAAAGGAGACAGGUGCUCUUCAAAUAACUCUUCUUUUGCAGUAAGAGAGGGAGGAACAACUCCGUAAAGAAAGGUGAAGGAAUCCCAGCUUGAGAUACAAGAUGAACUCUGUCCUUCUCAUAAGGAUCCAAUCAUACUGGUCUACAGAAGCUGUGUUUUAUCAUCCUCCAUCACAGCCCCUGGGGAUUUAUUGCCACACACGUAUCAACUGGAGAGCCAUAUAUGCUUUCCUCCUUGAACAGCCAAAGCAACAAACACUUGCUUUGAAAACAGCUGUACUAGAGACAAAUCCUUCGGGCAGGGAGGCGCGGAUAUCAGUGGCAGUAUUUUAAAGAGAAGUGAAGGUAUAUACCAAAGCAGUAAGUGAUAUUGCAGACUGUGUACAACUUGUGUGACUUUUCAGUACACUUUCUCUGAAGUUAUGAAAGUUAUGAAAUGUGUUCAAUGAACUUUAUACAUAUGAAACAAGUUUCUGCUUGAAAACAUUUAUUUUGUCUGAAAAGUGAUGCUCAUUUUUUUUAAGUAACACUGCAUAUAGGAUAAGUCCUCUAGUGACAUCUCUAUGAACUAUAGUAUGUGUGUGGAGGGCAAUUUUAGCUAACUAGAAGCUAGAAACCUAAGCUAAAUUGAGGUGAAUCUCACUUAAGAGGACUGUUUCAGAAGACACCACAGAUUUGAGGUUCAAUUUUAAAAUAAACAUACAAAAUGGAGAUAGGACAAGAACUUCAUUACUGUCAGCAAUAAGAAGACUUCAGAUUUCUUUAAGCUUCAAGGAAAAGUUUUAAAAUAAAAACAAACCAACAAUAACAACCACAAAACUUCUAAUUGAAUAACAAACUGAUUUAAAAGGUAAGAUAUUGCAGUGUAAAAAUAAAUAGAAACCUCAUUCCAGCCUUCUUACUAAAUUAUGUUUUCUGGACACAUACGUUAACAUGAACAAUUUUGACAUCAAACAGCAAGUAAAACCUAGAAAACAAUGCCAGAAGGUCCUUAAGGGAACAACUAAUCUACCUCUUGCUUCAGAAGAGGACUGUCCUGUCCUGUCUUAAACCUAGGUCACACUUUAAGACACUGGCUCUGCUUUUAACACCUUUGGUAUUGAAAUUCCCAUAGAAUCCUUAGGCAAGUUAUCCCCAUGCUUUAUAUUAUCAUGACUGCUAGAAAUAUUUUCAUACUGUUAAAUCUGAAUCUUUCUUACUGAAAUUUACUUGUCAUCUUAAUACUGUAUUCUCUUUUGCAACACCCUUGUACGUGUUUAAGGAGUGUUGUCGUUUUUCUUUAAUCACUCGUGGAAGAAGCAAUCCUAGUUCUGUCAAUCAGUUCUUGAUUGUCAGGCUAGGAAACAGAGCUCUCUUCUUGGAACUCUGCAGUAUAUGCUGCAGUUUGCUGCAAAUGCAUGCUCUCCCAAUUAAGGGAAUUUCAUCUGAACCAAAUUGCUAUUCAAAUAACCUAUUAAGAUUAUGUUGUACUAUCAACUCUCAAGUAUUCACUACUGAUUAAAGUGAUCUUUUCCAUGAAGAGGAAUAGAAAUACAGAGUUCUUCAAAGUCAAUAAAACAAUAACAGUCCUCAUUCAUCUCUUAUUUUUGCUGGCUUGAAAUUCCAGUAUCAUAGAAAUUUCACAGAAGAAAAGAGCUCAGCAUGAUCGUAUAGAGACACAACAAAAGGAUGAAGAAGGCUUACAGGAUGUCACAGACAAUUUGUUAACUAGAUAUAAACAUUCGGCAACUCUUUUUGAAAAUUUUUUUGAAAAUUUUGAAAAUUUUUACCAUUCUGUGAAACAGCAGUGUUAUUACACGUCUGCAGUGGUCUACUGAAUUAUGCAAACAAAUUGUGACAACAGCUGUUUGAAAGCCAGAGGGAAGUGAUUUUCAGAUUUAAUUCUUAAUAAAGAAAAACAUUUGAAGCAAUGCUGUCACCUCUGCUAACUUGAUUCAUACCACCUAUGAGCAAGAGGAAAACUAACUGUAGCUUAAAUGUAAUUACAUCUAGUAUAAACAAAAGAAAAAGACUAAAUUAGUUGUUAGAUGCAGAGAUAUGAGAAGAAAAAAAAGUCACUUAUUUAGUUCUUUUGAAGUAGGAAAGCAAUUAGUGCAGCACGGGCUUUAAAGUCAGAAGAAGAAAAAGAAGGGACACAUCAUAGUAAAGGAAAGAAAGAUUUCGCAAGUCAUACAAGUUUAUAACAUCAGUUGAGUCUAAGAAAUUGGAAAAAAAACAAAAUCCACAAAUAAAGUCUGGUAGAAAAAGAAGUACUUGCAGUUACGAGUGAUUCACCUUUUGCUAAAGAAUCAAAUCAUAGAAGCUGUAAAGAAUUCAAUAGUGUUAAAUAUUUUAAAUAAAUUUAGUAGCAAUGAGUCUGAUUUCCCUUGAGAAAGCAAGCAAUAGGAGAAAGUAUAUCUGAUUUCCCUGGGAUCAUUAAUAAGCUGUCCAAGUUAAAUUUGUUUAUCUUCUAAUGAAUCACCGCAUUUCCAAAAUUAAUUAAAGCAAUUAAUAUGUGUAACAGCCAUAUUUGACUGUAAAAAUAAGGAAUACAUAGAUCCAACAAAAAACUCACUGCAGGAUAUAAAAUUCCAUAUACACUAGUUGCAUCUUCACUGAAUCUAGAAUAUGUUUCAGUUUUCUGUCUGGAAGACAAAUGCUUUCCUCUCUUUCUCUCCUGGAAGAUCCACUGAGAUUUCAGAAACUGUUCUGUUUCAUAUGUCACCUAUUGAGGGAUCAAGUUUAGGCCUUGCUUUAGAAAGCUGUCUUCUUCCCCUAAACUAAGACAACCUGUUAAGUACAUCAAUUACACUGACAUGUCCUCAGGAAAAAAAAAAAAGAAAAAAAAAGUUUU